GACGAACGCUGGCGGCGUGCCUAAUACAUGCAAGUCGAGCGGACUUUCAAGAAGCUUGCUUUUUGAAAGUUAGCGGCGGACGGGUGAGUAACACGUGGGCAACCUGCCUGUAAGACGGGGAUAACUCUGGGAAACCGGGGCUAAUACCGGAUAAUAUCUUUCUUCGCAUGAAGGAAGGUUGAAAGGCGGCGCAAGCUGCCGCUUGCAGAUGGGCCCGCGGCGCAUUAGCUAGUUGGUGAGGUAACGGCUCACCAAGGCGACGAUGCGUAGCCGACGUGAGGGGGUGAUCGGCCACACUGGGACUGAGACACGGCCCAGACUCCUAAGUGAGGCAGCAGUAGGGAAUCUUCCGCAAUGGACGAAAGUCUGACGGAGCCACGCCGCGUGAGCGAAGAAGGUCUUCGGAUCGUAAAGCUCUGUUGUCAGGGAAGAACAAGUACCGUUCGAAUAGGGCGGUACCUUGACGGUACCUGACCAGAAAGCCACGGCUAACUACGUGCCAGCAGCCGCGGUAA
rnacentral:rRNA from 1 species